GUAUCAUAUAACUUCUUCUCCUAUAUAAACAUCAAUCCAUUAACCUAAUAGAUUUAAUACACACACUUUCACAAAAAUAAAUAAGUUAAUAUUGUACGAUGGGCGCUUUACGCAAGAAUUCUGUGGCACGAGGCAUUGCUGUGCUUCUGUUCCUUUUCGUGGUUGUACUAUGCGCGGAAGGGCAGCUAAAUGCAGCUUGCCUCAUCGACUGUGGGAAGAAAAUAGUUUUUUGUGCAGAGAACUGUGGAAUCAAGGGAGGGGAAGAUAGUUGCUAUGAAAAUUGUGCCAGUGAAAACGUUGGCUGUGUGACUACUUGCACGGGAUCAACUCAGCUGCCAAAAGCCAAGUAUAAUUAGCAAGCUACUAUACUAUGCAUAAGCCUCAUCAAGUUCAUUAGUAUUAAUGGGAAUUUAGUCAUUUACAUAUGUUAAAAUAAACAUAAUCAUAAAUGUAAUUGGGAAUGUUAAGAAUCCCUAGUUCUGAUCAAGAAUCCUAUGUAUUAUCUCUUUAAUGAGGAUAUCAGGAUUAUAAGAACUUAUAUAUGUUCCAUGUUUUAAAGAGAAGUUGUUGUCACAUUGCUGAACUUAAGAGCUGAAUCAUGUCCUGCUUUAGUGUUAAGGCUUGUGUUGGUCGGUAACUCGGGUGCAUACAUGUUGAGUCUUUGGGUUAAGUUGAC
rnacentral:lncRNA from 1 species